rnacentral:rRNA from 1 species
AGAGAUUCCUGUACCAGUGCUAAUUGUUUAACCGAUGGGGUGACACAGAAGGAUAGGGAAUCGCACGAAUGGAAAUGUGCGUCCAAGCAGUGAGUGUGAGAAGUAGGCAAAUCCGCUUCUCGCGAAGCAUGAGCUGUGAUGGGGAAGGAAAUUAAGUACGGAAGUUCCUGAUUUCACGCUGUCAAGAAAAGCCUCUAGGAAGAGUAGUACUGCCCGUACCGCAAACCGACACAGGUAGAUGAGGAGAGAAUCCUAAGGUGAGCGAGAGAACUCUCGUUAAGGAACUCGGCAAAAUGACCCCGUAACUUCGGGAGAAGGGGUGCUCUAUUAGGGUGCAAGCCCGAGAGAGCCGCAGUGAAUAGGCCCAGGCGACUGUUUAGCAAAAACACAGGUCUCUGCAAAACCGUAAGGUGACGUAUAGGGGCUGACGCCUGCCCGGUGCUGGAAGGUUAAGAGGAGUGCUUAGCUUCGGCGAAGGUACGAAUUGAAGCCCCAGUAAACGGCGGCCGUAACUAUAACGGUCCUAAGGUAGCGAAAUUCCUUGUCGGGUAAGUUCCGACCCGCACGAAAGGCGCAACGAUCUGGGCACUGUCUCAACGAGAGACUCGGUGAAAUUAUAGUACCUGUGAAGAUGCAGGUUACCCGCGACAGGACGGAAAGACCCCGUGGAGCUUUACUGCAACCUGAUAUGGAAUGUUUGUACCGCUUGUACAGGAUAGGUAGGAGCCGAAGAGACGUGUGCGCUAGCAUACGAGGAGGCAAUGGUGGGAUACUACCCUGGCUGUAUGACCAUUCUAACCCGCCACGCUUAGCGCGUGGGGAGACAGUGUCAGGUGGGCAGUUUGACUGGGGCGGUCGCCUCCUAAAGAG